rnacentral:ncRNA from 1 species
GUUUAACGGCCACGUCGAGGUUCCCCAUCCCAGGCAUGGCGAUGGGGCUAAGACGGGAAGCCGGUGGUGCCUUUCGGGGCAGAAUCCGGCGCUGCCCCCGCAACUGUAAGCGGCGAGCGGCGGUUCCAUUUCGUGUCACUGGGCUCCCGCAAGGUGCCUGGGAAGGCCGGAGCCACCGCGUUGACCCGUGAGCCAGGAGACCUGCCUUUGACGCGAUAACGUU